UAUUGGUCAAUGGACGAGAGUCUGAACCAGCCAAGUAGCGUGAAGGAUGACUGCCCUAUGGGUUGUAAACUUCUUUUAUAUGGGAAUAAAACAGGGUAUGCAUACCCUCUUGUAUGUACCAUAUGAAUAAGGAUCGGCUAACUCCGUGCCAGCAGCCGCGGUAAUACGGAGGAUCCGAGCGUUAUCCGGAUUUAUUGGGUUUAAAGGGUGCGUAGGCGGAUUCUUAAGUCAGCGGUAAAAUAUCCGGGCUCAACCCGGGCCGGCCGUUGAAACUGGGGGUCUUGAGCGGGCGAGAAGUAUGCGGAAUGCGUGGUGUAGCGGUGAAAUCCAUAGAUAUCACACAGAACUCCGAUUGCGAAGGCAGCAUACCGGCGCCCGACUGACGCUGCGGCACGAAAGCGUGGGGAUCGAACAGG
rnacentral:rRNA from 1 species